UACCCUUGACAUGUGCGGAAUCCUGCAGAAAUGCAGGAGUGCCCGAAAGGGAACCGCAACACAGGUGCUGCAUGGCUGUCGUCAGCUCGUGUCGUGAGAUGUUGGGUUAAGUCCCGCAACGAGCGCAACCCUUGUCAUUAGUUGCUACAUUCAGUUGAGCACUCUAAUGAGACUGCCGGUGACAAACCGGAGGAAGGUGGGGAUGACGUCUCGGCAUUAGCCA
rnacentral:misc_RNA from 1 species